CGCGUAGGCGGCGCGGUAAGUCACUUGUGAAAUCUCUGAGCUUAACUCAGAACGGCCAAGUGAUACUGCAGUGCUAGAGUGCAGAAGGGGCAAUCGGAAUUCUUGGUGUAGCGGUGAAAUGCGUAGAUAUCAAGAGGAACACCUGAGGUGAAGACGGGUUGCUAGGCUGACACUGACGCUGAGGCGCGAAAGCCAGGGGAGCAAACG
rnacentral:rRNA from 1 species